rnacentral:rRNA from 1 species
GACGCCGCGUGUGGGAGGAAGCCUUUCGGGGUGUAAACCACUGUCAGGAGGGAAGAACACUACCAGGUUCGAACAGGGCUGGUGGUUGAACGGUACCUCCAGAGGAAGCGCCGGCUAACUCCGUGCCAGCAACGUCGGUGACUGAGCGGGCUGGCAAGGCGCAUA